GGAGCAGUGGCCGAGCGGUCGAUGGCAGCGGUCUUGAAAACCGCCGGGCCAGAAAUGGUCCCGUGGGUUCGAAUCCCACCUGCUCCGCCA
rnacentral:tRNA from 1 species